rfam:Clostridium tetanomorphum DSM 665 contig13, whole genome shotgun sequence.
GAAUAUUUUCAAAAAAUAGGUUUAAUGAGUUUAUUAAUUAAAAGGGAAGUUGGGUGAAAAUCCCACGCGGUACCGCCGCUGUAAAAGAGGAGUUUUCUUCUAUUAUGCCACUAUUUUUAAAAUGGGAAGGCAGAAGAAAAUUAUGAUACUUAAGCCAGAAGACCUGCCUAUUUUUUUGCACUGUA